rnacentral:lncRNA from 1 species
CACGACACAAGCUUCUUUUGGCUGCCUUGGCGCUCUCCGCCGCCCCCAGUACCAAGGAGCAGAAUUUCAUGACAGCAUUCAGCCCUGGAUGUCCAACAACAACCUAAAAAGGUCAGCUGCAAAAUCUUGCAGGAUGCAGUAGCCAUGCUUUCAGGGGCAAUACAUAGUUAGAUUGACAUAUCUAUAAUGCUGAAUUAAAGCUGCCAUAACCUUUUCCCAAAUCCCUGAAUGAAAGGUGACUUCAGUCUUCCUUAAGCCUCUCCAUGAAUUUGUGUACCCAACUGAAGAUUAGACAUGAGCAUAUUGUAUUUCUUAGGUUAAAUACUAUCACUACCUUAUGGUAAAGAACAUUUUGACUCUGAGAUGAAAAU